GAUGAACGCUGGCGGCGUGCCCAAUACAUGCAAGUCGAGCGAACGGACGAGAAGCUUGCUUCUCUGAUGUUAGCGGCGGACGGGUGAGUAACACGUGGAUAACCUACCUAUAAGACUGGGAUAACUUCGGGAAACCGUAGCUAAUACCGGAUAAUAUUUUGAACCGCAUGGUUCAAAAGUGAAAGACGGUCUUGCUGUCACUUAUAGAUGGAUCCGCGCUGCAUUAGCUAGUUGGUAAGGUAACGGCUUACCAAGGCAACGAUGCAUAGCCGACCUGAGAGAGUGAUCGGCCACACUGGAACUGAGACACGGUCCAGACUCCUACGGGAGGCAGCAGUAGGGAAUCUUCCGCAAAGGGCGAAAGCCUGACGGAGCAACGCCGCGUGAGUGAUGAAGGUCUUCGGAUCGUAAAACUCUGUUAUUAGGGAAGAACAUAUGUGUAAGUAACUGUGCACAUCUUGACGGUACCUAAUCAGAAAGCCACGGCUAACUACGUG
rnacentral:rRNA from 1 species